GUUUCGCACUGUAAGAAUAAUGGGACAAUAAGUAACAUUUUAACCAGUUUAUUUUAGUC
rnacentral:sRNA from 1 species